rnacentral:rRNA from 1 species
UACAGCCGAAACGGCUGCUAAUACCGAAUACGAUCUUUUCGUUCGCAUGACGGAAAAGAGAAAAGGAAUGGCCUCUAUACAAAGCUAUCGCCGAAGAGGGGUUUUGCGUCUGAUUAGCUGGUUGGAGGGGUAACGGCCCAACAAGGCGAUGAUCAGUAGCCGGUCUGAGAGGAUGAACGGCCACAUUGGGACUGAGACACGGCCCAGACUCCUACGGGAGGCAGCAGUGGGGAAUCUUCCGCAAUGGACGAAAGUCUGACGGAGCAACGCCGCGUGAGUGAAGAAGGUCUUCGGAUUGUAAAGCUCUGUUAUACGGGACGAAAAAGACGGAUGCCAACAGUAUCCGUCCGUGACGGUACCGUAAGAGAAAGCCACGGCUAACUACGUGCCAGCAGCCGCGGUAAAU